rnacentral:rRNA from 1 species
GAUGAACGCUGGCGGCGUGCUUAACACAUGCAAGUCGAACGAGAAAUGGAGACGGAAACCUUCGGGCGGAAGGCUUCAUUUCGAGUGGCCGACGGGUGAGUAACGCGUGGGUAACCUGCCUCAUACAUGCGGAUAACAGUUGGAAACGACUGUUAAUACCGCAUAAGACUACACCACCGCAUGGUGCGGGGGUUAAAACUCCGGUGGUAUGAGAUGGACCCGCGUUCGAUUAGCCAGUUGGCGGGGUACAGGCCCACCAAAGCGACGAUCGAUAGCCGAUCUGAGAGGAUGACCGGCCACAUUGGGACUGAGACACGGCCCAGACUCCUACGGGAGGCAGCAGUGGGGAAUAUUGGACAAUGGGGGAAAGCCUGAUGCAGCGACGCCGCGUGAGUGAAGAAGUACUUCGGUAUGUAAAGCUCUAUCAGCAGGGAAGAAAAUGACGGUACCUGGGUAAGAAGCCCCGGCUAACUACGUG